UACGGAGGAGGCAAGCGUUAUCCGGAAUUAUUGGGCGUAAAGCGUCCGUAGGUGGCUCUUCAAGUCUGCUGUCAAAGAGUGGGGCUUAACCCUGCAAAGGCAGUGGAAACUGAAAGGCUAGAGAGCCGUAGGGGUAGAGGGAAUUCCCGGUGUAGCGGUGAAAUGCGUAGAUAUCGAGAGGAACACCUGCGGCGAAGGCGGGUUGCUGGGCUGACACUGACGCUGAGGCGCGAAAGCUAGGGGAGCGAACGGG
rnacentral:rRNA from 1 species